CCUACGGGUGGCUGCAGUGGGGAAUAUUGGACAAUGGGCGAAAGCCUGAUCCAGCCAUGCCGCGUGUGUGAAGAAGGCCUUCGGGUUGUAAAGCACUUUCAGUGGGGAAGAAAGCCUUGGGGCUAAUACCCUCGAGGAAGGACAUCACCCACAGAAGAAGCACCGGCUAACUCCGUGCCAGCAGCCGCGGUAAUACGGAGGGUGCGAGCGUUAAUCGGAAUUACUGGGCGUAAAGCGCGCGUAGGCGGUCUGAUAAGCCGGUUGUGAAAGCCCCGGGCUCAACCUGGGAACGGCAUCCGGAACUGUCAGGCUAGAGUGCAGGAGAGGAAGGUAGAAUUCCCGGUGUAGCGGUGAAAGGCGUAGAGAUCGGGAGGAAUACCAGUGGCGAAGGCGGCCUUCUGGACUGACACUGACGCUGAGGUGCGAAAGCGUGGGUAGCAAACAGGAUUAGAUACCCGGGUAGUC
rnacentral:rRNA from 1 species